rnacentral:lncRNA from 1 species
AGACGUUACUGCCCUCUUGCGUGCCCCGGCCACCCCCGGGCGGCUUGUAGCCGGUGCGCGGGGUGGCUGGGGCUACGUGCAGAGCUGUCGCGGAGCCGGAACAGCAGCGGUGAAGCCCCUCGGCUCGGCCGAGACCGCCGUGCCCACUGCUCGCCUCGGUUGCCGCCGCUUUAGCCGCAGCCGCUGCUGCCGCCGCCGGGGGAGAGGCAGCCUAUUGUCUUUCUCCGCGGCGAAGGUGAGGAGCUGUCUCGGCUCGGCCCGCGGGGGAGCCCCGGGAGCCGCACGGUGGCAUUUUUCAACUCCGCUGGAGCCAAUGCCCAGGAGGAACAAAGGGUGUGCUGCCAGCCCCUGGCUCACCCAGUGGCCUCGUCCCAGAAAAAGCCAGAGGUAGCGGCCCCAGCCCCAGAGAGUGGGGGUGAGUCUGUGUUUGGGGAGACCCACCGGGCCCUGCAGGGGGCCAUGGAGAAGCUGCAGCGACUUUAUGGAAGGAGAAGGUGGACCUGAAGGAGCGGGUAGAGAAACUAGAGCUUCAAUUCAUCCACCUCUCAGGACAGACAGACACCAUAGGGAGAAAGUACAUCAGCCAGGGGGCAGUGUCAGAGACGCAGCACUGGGAGAGGAGGACAUCGUCAGGCUGGCCCAGGACCAGGAGGAGAUGAAGGUGAACCUGCAGGAGCUGCGGGGCAGGUGUUGCAGCUUGUGGGAGACCACAAGGAGGGGCAUGGCAAAUUCUGACCAUUGCCCAGAACCCUGCUGAUGAGCCCACUCUAGGAGCCCCAAUAGCCCAGGAGCUUGGGUGUGCUGACGAGCAGGGUGAUCACCACUGGAUUGCUGACAGAUAGAGGACGUGGGACCGUGACUAUCACCCCUAAUCUGCAGUGGAUUUGGCUCUCGGCACUCCCAGGCUGGGAGCUGGAUACCUGCCCUGGCAGCAUGACUCAGACUGCAUGACAGAGAACGUGGCCAGUGGAGACGGCACACUG